AGUGAACGCUGGCGGCAGGCCUAACACAUGCAAGUCGAACGGCAGCACAGUAAGAGUUUGCUCUUACGGGUGGCGAGUGGCGGACGGGUGAGGAAUACAUCGGAAUCUACUUUUUCGUGGGGGAUAACGUAGGGAAACUUACGCUAAUACCGCAUACGACCUACGGGUGAAAGCAGGGGAUCUUCGGACCUUGCGCGAUUGAAUUAGCCGAUUUCGGAUUAGCUAGUUGGCGGGGUAAAGGCCCACCAAGGCGACGAUCCGUAGCUGGUCUGAGAGGAUGAUCGGCCACACUGGAACUGAGACACGGUCCAGACUCCUACGGGAGGCAGCAGUAGGGAAUAUUGGACAAUGGGCGCAAGCCUGAUACAGCCAUACCGCGUGAGUGAAGAAGGCCUUCGGGUUGUAAAGACCUGUUGUUGGGAAAGAAAAGCAGCAGGUUAAUACCCCGCUGUUCUGACGGUACCCAAAGAAUAAGCACCGGCUAACUACGUG
rnacentral:rRNA from 1 species